rnacentral:lncRNA from 1 species
UUUUUUCUAUUAUCUUCGUCACUUCGUUGGCCAGCUAUACAACAUGUUCUUUCUGUUUUGUAUUAAAUUUUGACUGUUGCGCAUAAUGAAUUGUCUCAGGUCGCAGAAGGAGCAAGGAUACGGGGAGCGUCGAAAAUCAUAGGGGUCGAUUUGAAUCCUGCAAAGUUCGAGUUGGGUAUGGAAACAUUAACACGCAGAUAUAUGUUAUGUCACAUGUUCGAAGGAAUCUAUAGAUACAUGAUGUAUUCUUAAUGCGGGUUGUUGUUUGAUGAUCUAACUGAUAUGCAAUUUGCAGGAAAAAAAUUCGGGAUAACUGACUUUGUCAACCCUACAACUAUAGGGGAAAAGUGUGUAAGCGAGGUUAGCAUCAUCCUCGUAAAAACCUUCAAAUUAGUCGCAUAUCCAAAAAGGUUUGAUGCAUAAGACAUGCAGGAGAUUUAGCUAGAAAUUGAAAUGCAGUGCGCCACACUGACAUGGGAGGGGCUCUUUCUAAAUCCACUCCUGCUUAUAAUUUCAUGUAUGUUGCGGCGUACGUAGGUGAUAAAGGAAUUGACGGAUGG